rnacentral:rRNA from 1 species
CACGGGGGGAGCAAGCGUUGUUCGGAAUCACUGGGCGUAAAGGGCGUGUAGGCGGUCAAGUAAGUGGGACGUGAAAGCCCCCGGCUCACCCGGGGAUCUGCAUCGCAAACUGCUUGGCUUGAGUAUGGGAGAGGAUAGGGGAAUUCCUGGUGUAGCGGUGAAAUGCGCAGAUAUCGGGAGGAACACCAGUGGCGAAGGCGGCAUCCUGGACCGGCAUUGACGCUGAGGAGCGAAAGCCAGGGGAGCAAACGGG